GAUCCUGGCUCAGGAUGAAUGCUAGCUACAGGCUUAACACAUGCAAGUCGAGGGGCAGCAUGGUCUUAGCUUGCUAAGGCCGAUGGCGACCGGCGCACGGGUGAGUAACGCGUAUCCGACCUGCCUUACACUCUUGGACAGCCUUCUGAAAGGGAGAUUAAUACAAGAUGUUAUCAUGAGUAAGCAUUUUCGCAUGAUUAAAGGUUUACCGGUGUAAGAUGGGGAUGCGUU
rnacentral:rRNA from 1 species